rnacentral:rRNA from 1 species
ACGAAGUGAGAAGCAAUUCUCACUUAGUGGCGAAAGGGUUAGUAAUACAUGAAUAACAUGCCCUAAACUUGGGAAUAACAGUUGGAAACGACUGCUAAUACCGAAUGUGGCGGUGAAAGGCAUCUUUUGCUUGCUAAAGUGGGGGACCUAGAGAUAGGCCUUGCGGUUUAGGAAUGGUUCAUGGGAUAUCAGCUAGUUGGUGAGGUAAAGGCUUACCAAGG